rnacentral:rRNA from 1 species
UUUCGAAUCAUUCACAAUGGGCGAAAGCCUGAUGGUGCGACGCCGCGUGAGGGAUGAAGGUCUUCGGAUUGUAAACCUCUGUCACCGGGGAAGAAACGCUUCAAGUUAAUAGCUUGAAGCCUGACUUAACCCGGAGAGGAAGCAGUGGCUAACUCUGUGCCAGCAGCCGCGGUAAUACAGAGACUGCAAGCGUUAUUCGGAUUCACUGGGCGUAAAGGGUGCGCAGGCGGCCAUGUGUGUGAGGCGUGAAAGCCCGGGGCUUAACCCCGGAAUUGCACCUCAAACUACAUGGCUAGAGCAUUGGAGAGGGUAGCAGAAUUCAUGGUGUAGCAGUGAAAUGCGUAGAUAUCAUGAGGAAUACCAGAGGCGAAGGCGGCUACCUGGACAAUUGCUGACGCUCAGGCACGAAAGCGUGGGGAGCAAAAGGGAUUAGAUACCCGCGUAGUCC